CAAUUCUCAGGUUACCUUUUGUAACGAUCCCGACGGAAAUCUACUAACUGACCCUCAAAAGAAGUUGAAAGAUGCACCAGCUGCUUCUAGAAGCUACUUAAUCAGAACGAUCCAAUUUUCACUAAAGCAACCGUGAGCAUUGACUAUGACCAGAGCAGUGAUCAAAUGAAACCUCCGACAAGAUAGGGAAUCUAGCAUCAUCAGAAAGCUGAAAAACAGUUAGAAUGAGCUGACUGAAUAUCUAAGUUUGUCAUUGCCCUUGACACACCAUAUAAAAAUGAGAAGAGGCAAGCUGAUAACAUCAGCUCAAUUUGAAUGAAAUCACAACCUUUGCAAAAUGAAAGUUAUUAAUAUGGUAGUUAACGAUCGAUAACAGUCACGACACGCCGAUCGACUCUUCUGUCAAUAUCUUUUAAUACAUGGCAGUUGCAAGGAGAUAAGUAUAAUCCAACGACCAUUUUUGUUCUUGAGGCGCCGAUCGAUACUUAUUGAUAUAAACAUCUUCAAUAAAUCAUAAAUGGAAGGAUAUGAGGUCAAAUACAUUGAUCGGUUUUGGUCAAGUUGGUUCGCUUCAGAACAGUGAAAGGAAGGUAUUGAGGAAAAUGUUUGGGGCAAUAAAAACAAGUGAAGAACUUUGGAGAAGAACAACUUACUAAGUACUGAAGGAUUUGUAUAAAUACCCCUCAAUAACAUGUUACGUAAAAGCUCAAUGAGUAAGAUAGUUGGGGCAUACUGAAGGGAUGCUGGGAAAUAGAUUUGCUCAAAGGGUCA